rnacentral:rRNA from 1 species
GACGAACGCUGGCGGCGUGCUUAACACAUGCAAGUCGAGCGGUAAGGCCUUUCGGGGGUACACGAGCGGCGAACGGGUGAGUAACACGUGGGUGACCUGCCUUUAGCUUCGGGAUAAGCCUGGGAAACCGGGUCUAAUACCGGAUAUGACCUCAUGUCGCAUGGUGUGGGGUGGAAAGUUCUUCGGCUAGAGAUGGGCCCGCGGCCUAUCAGCUUGUUGGUGGGGUGAUGGCCUACCAAGGCGACGGACGGGUAGCCGGCCUGAGAGGGCGACCGGCCACACUGGGACUGAGAUACGGCCCAGACUCCGUACGGGAGGCAGCAGUGGGGAAUAUUGGACAAUGGGGGAAACCCUGAUCCAGCAAUGCCGCGUGAGUGAAGAA